GAUGAACGCUGGCGGCGUGCCUAAUACAUGCAAGUCGAGCGAACAGACGAGGAGCUUGCUCCUCUGACGUUAGCGGCGGACGGGUGAGUAACACGUGGAUAACCUACCUAUAAGACUGGGAUAACUUCGGGAAACCGGAGCUAAUACCGGAUAAUCUAUUGAACCGCAUGGUUCAAUAGUGAAAGACGGUUUUGCUGUCACUUAUAGAUGGAUCCGCGCCGCAUUAGCUAGUUGGUAAGGUAACGGCUUACCAAGGCAACGAUGCGUAGCCGACCUGAGAGGGUGAUCGGCCACCCUGGAACUGAGACACGGUCCAGACUCCUACGGGAGGCAGCAGUAGGGAAUCUUCCGCAAUGGGCGAAAGCCUGACGGAGCAACGCCGCGUGAGUGAUGAAGGUCUUCGGAUCGUAAAACUCUGUUAUUAGGGAAGAACAAAUGUGUAAGUAACUAUGCACGUCUUGACGGUACCUAAUCAGAAAGCCACGGCUAACUACGUG
rnacentral:rRNA from 1 species